rnacentral:rRNA from 1 species
GUACACAAAAAUGCACAUACUGUGAGCUCGAUGAGUAGGGCGGGACACGUGGUAUCCUGUCUGAAUAUGGGGGGACCAUCCUCCAAGGCUAAAUACUCCUGACUGACCGAUAGUGAACCAGUACCGUGAGGGAAAGGCGAAAAGAACCCCGGCGAGGGGAGUGAAAAAGAACCUGAAACCGUGUACGUACAAGCAGUGGGAGCCUCUUAAUGGGGUGACUGCGUACCUUUUGUAUAAUGGGUCAGCGACUUAUAUUCUGUAGCAAGGUUAACCGAAUAGGGGAGCCGAAGGGAAACCGAGUCUUAACUGGGCGUUAAGUUGCAGGGUAUAGACCCGAAACCCGGUGAUCUAGCCAUGGGCAGGUUGAAGGUUGGGUAACACUAACUGGAGGACCGAACCGACUAAUGUUGAAAAAUUAGCGGAUGACUUGUGGCUGGGGGUGAAAGGCCAAUCAAACCGGGAGAUAGCUGGUUCUCCCCGAAAGCUAUUUAGGUAGCGCCUCGUGAAUUCAUCUCCGGGGGUAGAGCACUGUUUCGGCAAGGGGGUCAUCCCGACUUACCAACCCGAUGCAAACUGCGAAUACCGGAGAAUGUUAUCACGGGAGACACACGGCGGGUGCUAACGUCCGUCGUGAAGAGGGAAACAACCCAGACCGCCAGCUAAGGUCCCAAAGUCAUGGUUAAGUGGGAAACGAUGUGGGAAGGCCCAGACAGCCAGGAUGUUGGCUUAGAAGCAGCCAUCAUUUAAAGAAAGCGUAAUAGCUCACUGGUCGAGUCGGCCUGCGCGGAAGAUGUAACGGGGCUAAACCAUGCACCGAAGCUGCGGCAGCGACACUAUGUGUUGUUGGGUAGGGGAGCGUUCUGUAAGCCUGUGAAGGUGUACUGUGAGGUAUGCUGGAGGUAUCAGAAGUGCGAAUGCUGACAUAAGU